AAUCAACGCUGGCGGCGUGCCUAAUACAUGCAAGUCGAACGCGAAAGUCCCGCAAGGGAUGAGUAGAGUGGCAAACGGGUGAGUAACGCGUGGGUGACCUGCCUUCGAGUGGGGGAUAACGUCCCGAAAGGGACGCUAAUACCGCAUGACAUCCUGCCUUUGAACAGGCGGAGAUCAAAGCCGGGGACCGCAAGGCCUGGCGCUUGAAGGAGGGGCCCGCGUCCGAUUAGCUAGUUGGGGGGUAACGGCUCACCAAGGCAUCGAUCGGUAGCCGGCCUGAGAGGGCGGACGGCCACACUGGGACUGAGACACGGCCCAGACUCCUACGGGAGGCAGCAGUAGGGAAUUGUUCGCAAUGGGCGCAAGCCUGACGACGCAACGCCGCGUGGAGGAUGAAGGCC
rnacentral:rRNA from 1 species